AGUCGAACGAGAAAGUGGAGCAAUCCAUGAGUACAGUGGCGUACGGGUGAGUAACACGUGGGUGAUCUACCUCUUAGUGAGGAAUAACCCUGGGAAACCGGGGCUAAUACCGCAUAAGCCUGAGAAGGGAAAGCAGCAAUGCGCUGAGAGAGGAGCCCGCGGCCGAUUAGCUAGUUGGUGGGGUAAAGGCCCACCAAGGCAGAGAUCGGUAGCCGGCCUGAGAGGGCACACGGCCACACUGGCACUGAAACACGGGCCAGACUCCUACGGGAGGCAGCAGUGGGGAAUCUUGCACAAUGGGGGAAACCCUGAUGCAGCGACGCCGCGUGAGCGAUGAAGCCCUUCGGGGUGUAAAGCUCUUUCGUCAGGGAAGAUCAUGACGGUACCUGGAGAAGCAGCUGCGGCUAACUACGUGCCAGCAGCCGCGGUAAUACGUAGGCAGCAAGCGUUGUUCGGAGUUACUGGGCGUAAAGGGUGUGUAGGCGGUUCUUUAAGUUUGGUGUGAAAUCUCCCGGCUCAACCGGGAGGGUGCGCCGAAUACUGAGGGACUAGAGUGUGGGAGAGGAAAGUGGAAUUCCUGGUAUAGCGGUGAAAUGCGUAGAUAUCAGGAGGAACACCGGUGGUGUAGACGGCUUUCUGGACCAUAACUGACGCUGAGACACGAAAGCGUG
rnacentral:rRNA from 1 species